AUGGCAUUGCUAUCUUGACUAUUGUUCUCCUAUCCAUAUUUGCUGCCUUGGCCCUGCUGGCCACCUUAUAUGAUUAUUUCCUAGUGUCGGAUCAAGCGAAAUUUCC